UUUUAGCUAAUAUGAGCACUGUGCCCAAAUCUUUCUCCUGUCUAGAAAUGUUCCGUUCAUAUCCCUGAAGAGCUGCUUUAAAGCCACUUUCUGCACGUGGCAGGAACUUUGAUUUGAUCAUUAUCUUAACAAUUAAAUUUUUACCUGGGGAUUAUCGAUAAUGCUGUUGGCACCUUAACAUCUUGAUGUUUCUGUGGCCCUUUAAAACUUUGUCAAUGCUCUUCUGUUUGACAUUUCAAAUCUCUUCCUCUCCUUUGGCUCUUGCCACGAAUUGGCUGUGGUGCUGUCCACUUUUCCCAAAGGGAGAAUCUGCUUAGCUAUUCCUAGGAGGUCGCUGAGCCUGCUUAAACACAAACAUAUUGCCCCAUUUAAUCAGUUUCUUGAUCUUGUAUUUCUUGUUAUCUAUUUGUUUUCUACUUUAGUAGUUAUUGCAAGUAGCCCGAGGAAAUAUUAAACUGGUGAAGCUCUUCUGCUUCUAGGUCAUUGGUUUUCAUCUAUAUAAAGUUGAUCAGAAUCAGACAGUAAAUCUAUACAGAGAAAAGGUGAUUUCUAACCAGUGGAUGGUGUGAAUUUAUAUCUAUUAAAAUAUACACGUUGACUGUAUAAUCUAAAGGGGUUACAUCCACACUCAUUGAAUUUAAUGACAGAACUUCAGUUUCUUGUGCUUGGGAGCAGGUUCAGACUUGACUCUGCAGAUGACAAAGAUGCACAUGCAAAUUGUCUUGUAAUUUUUCUUGUUUUCAUACCUUGGACUACCAUAUAUUUCUGUUUGACUCCUUUCAUAAUGCACGCAACUUAGAUUAAGUGUUCCACCUUAAAAUCGGAUUCCAUUAAAACAACACCAAGCUUAAUAUUUUUUUAGUUAUUCCCUGCAAAGAAAUUUCACCCGACAAAUUUAUUUUUUAAAAUUUUAUUUGCUAGUCUGACAAACACAAAAACUUCUCUUACCAUUGCACCAACUAUUCCCUAUUAGUAGAAAGGUUCUGUGUGCCCCACUAGGAUUCUUCCCAUGACAUUGGUACUUCAAGAUUCCUUGUAUGGGAUACACCAUUGAUGCCAUGAUUUCUUGCAGCAUUUUAUGUAGACAGACCUUGUUUUAAUGGAAAGCAUUCUGGUGAUAUUGCUUACCACGUGCAGGGUCCAGGCUGUUGAUCUCAUGUCCCUCUAUCCUACAGAGAAAAAUGAAUUCUGACUUUGUGCUUCACUUAUAUCUGUAAAACUUUUUUCUUCCUUUUUUUUUUUUUUUUUUUUUUUGCCAACAGAAAAACAAAGAAACCUUUUAAAGCUCCAUGCUUUCUGAGACAUAUUUCAGUGUUGGUUUUGUGCUGUUCCAGUCCUUUGCUGAUAAUCCAAUCAAGCCAGCUUGUAACUGAGAAAGUAACAGUAGUGUCACCAGACUGCAAUCUGUCAAGCCCUCCUAAAAACCUUCUUUAAUUGCUUGUGUAGCCUUUCUGUCUCCUUAAGAGUCCCUGGGCUGCAUCCCUACUGCAUUUUGAUAAAAGCUCUCCCCAUGCCCUCUGUGACUGUCAAUACUUGCAUGAGAACACAGAGGAACUUUCUGAGGACUCCAGAAAGUGCAGGGCAUCUCUCUUUGUGAACCCACAAAACCAAAAGAUGUAAAUUAAAGUUGUGGAAGAGUUCUUGGAUGUGUGUUUGCCAUUUCCCUCCUGGGAGCUGCUGCCUUAUUUUCAGCUUUUUUUUUAAGCUGUGUGCUGAAGUUGCACAGGCCUGUCCCUGAGAAGUUCCCCCGUGUUUUACCUUACAAGUGUGAUUUUUGGAGGCCUCCUUGAGUUAUUUUGGCUGCAGCUGAAGUGACUUCAGGUUAAGUAAGGACUUAGAUGACAUCACAACAUUUCCUCAAAUGGUGGCAUCAAAGUGCCCUGUUUGCCAAAACAUCACUGCUGUGUUAAUCUUCUUCCCACUUCAAUAAAGAACCUUUCAUUCAGCAGCUAAUUUGACCUUGGAAAAUCUGCAAAGCUCAUUUUCUUCAGCUGCAAUAAAGCCCCAGUCCUUUCUGUCUUGUUACAUAACAAUCCCACACAACGCUUGAAUUUUACUUCAGAUGAAAUAUCUCUUCCCAUUGCUUUAGUAUAUUCACUCGCCUAUUUCUUAUCACCUUUUUCAGCCAGGGGAACUUUGAAUUGAUUUUAUUAAUAUGUAUAUAUCUAGAAGGAACCAAAACAUUGAUUUUUCUAUACUUGGGUUUCAAGUAUACAAAGAGUUGGUCAAAUUUUAGCUUCAUGGAAAAUUUCAGUGAAAAAAAAUACAUGCAUACAGAUUGUUAACUCUUGCCCAAAAAGGCUUUGUUGGUCUGCUUAGUUUUUAGUUCUUGAAAAUAAAAAUACACAGAUGUUUUACACUUGCCCAAAAGGGUUGGUUUGCUUUGUUUUACUAAUGAAAAUAAAAUAAACAGAAUAAAGCCGGAAUAUUUUAAUUUGGAAAUACCACUGUAGUUCUCAUUAGAAUUCUUUUCCAACGCUUCUAAUCAAGUAAAAUUUUUUCUUUCAGAAAAUAUUUGCUGUAAUGUCUAAGUUCCCUUCUUAGGUAAUAUAUCUUAAUAAGAAUUCUGCAUUAUUACAUGUGAUGGGAAAAGACAGUGACCACGAGUCUUUGGAGUGACAGACGACAUGACUUGGACCCUUGGAAGGUCUGUGAUGGUAAAGUAUUUUUACUGUGGUAAGUAAAACUACAUUUUUGAUACUAAGGAAAAAAUAAUGCUGAUACAUUCAUCUUGUUGAAAACAUAUUUUUCUGACAGGGAAAAAAAAAUGGGAAAUUUUCAUUAAUUUUAAAAUAAAAUUAUUCUUAUUUUAAAUUACUGCAAUGAGAAUCUUAUGAACAUUUUUUAACCUCCUUUUAAAGUGCCAACAAAUAUUAAUUAUGACAUGAGGUACUCUACUCCACAGCAGAUAUCUGUCUUGUGCUUUAACUCUAUUCCUGGCAAGAACCUCUAGAACUUUGAUUAUUCAUAAGAUGAAAUUUAAUCCUUUCAGCCAUAGGUGCAAUAACAGUUUUGUUCCUAGAACAGAAUUUUCUACAGAUAUGGUGAGUUUACAUAAAUAUUUAAGACUAUCAAAGAAGCACAGAAAAUUACAAAAAAACUCUCUGAAAAAUGGGUGUUAGGUUCUCACCAUCCUACCUGCAUACAAGUUUAUUCUUCACACUAGUUGAUGCUAGCAUGAAUCUUAUUUCACAGUGAAAGUAUCUGGCACAAAGAGAUAUCAUAAAUCUUUAGGGUUUAUUUUGUUAACAGAUUGACAAUUUAACUUUUACAGAGUUUUGGUUUUGUUUUGUUUUUCAGUGUUAUUUAACAGGCUGAGGAACUCUUGAUUCAGGAACUCAAGGAAUCUCCUCAGGAAAUAAAAGUAUCCCAGAUGCUAACACACCUGGUAACACAUUUAGAGGGCUGGCCUCUCACAGCAACAUAGCUUCCAGUUCACGUGUGUGGAAGUGGCCAGGGCAGAGAAUGGGCUCCAUGCCACCCAGAGAUACUCUUCCCUUGCAAUUUGGUGCUUCACACAUGAGCCUGUUCAUAGCUCCACAGGACCCCUCUCCUGGGAUUUAAAACGAAA